CAACCACUGACUUUCUCAGCCAUCGCAUUUCUGCAGAAUGUACAAAAUUCCUCCUACCAAAGGUAGCUGCUAUUAUGGAUUUCCCACCACCCUCACUACUAAAAAACUACAGGAGUUCUUAGGCUUGAAACCUACAGGGUCAUCGGUGAAAUUGACAAUGUGAAUACUUGGGAGUGUGGUCAUGGAACCUAUCCUGCUUAUGAGCUGUUUGUCCCACAUCCGUCAGCUGAAGAGAAGAGCACAAUGCAGGUGGAUACAAAACACAUUCUAAGUUAGUGUCAUCAGUUUUAUGUGAGCAGCUGUCUGAUGCUCAGAAGACAGCACUGUCAAAGACAAUCGCAAAAGCUGCCGGCCAGCCCUCCACCUGGUUAAGACCAUUUGUAUUCCUUGUACAGAAGCUAGAAUAAAACAGUGGGGGAGGAAAUGCCGAGUUCCUCCAGCAUUUUCUGUGCAUUCCAGCAUCUCCAGAAUCUCUGGCGCCUUCAUUGUGCUGAUAUAUUUGCAUAAAAGUCUGGUGCAUGCCUGGGAUGAGUUAUCAUUGCAGAUCAUACCGAGGAAUUCAACCGUAUUAACUCGGCAGCUGAAGAGAAGAAAUUAUAAAUAUGCAUAAUCGGAGCACUACAGUAACCGUUGCUGGACUUGUGCCCUCUCUGAGUUACGAUGCUGUCUGAGAAACCAUUUACUCAGUGAGCCGUUUUAUUUGUACAGAAUACAAUUAGAGUGCAGAUGCAAAUUUGGGUUAUUACUUGUGUUGGCACAUAAUGCGCAUGUAAAACUACUCAUGGGAUUUUAUUAGAAGCCGGACAGUUUUAUUAAGUGACUAAUCUCAGCAUACAAGUGUUGUAAACAGAACUAUUUAAUAGGUGAAAUAUUAUUGUAACACUAAAAAGUUGGCUUGGCUGUCUAUGUGCUUCAAAUGUAGUAAAAUAUUAUACCCACAAGGCUGAAGCAACUUAUUUAGUCCUGUACUCACAAUGUUUCAGGUUUUUUAAUGGACAAGGGAAUUCAAUAUAUGGCCUGUAACAUGAUAAUCUGCCAAUAUUAGGGCAAUAGAACAUUCCAGACUCAGAGGAAUUCCUGUUUUUUGUGUGUAACUCAUAAAAAUAUGUUAUGUACUUAAUAUUGUACAUGAGGGAAUAAAAUGCCCAUGAAUAAAAUAAAGCAAAUUAGUAAAUUGUUUCUGCUGCAAAUGAUAUUUUGAUAUAAACCUCCAUCAAUCACUUGUCAUUGUAGCCUGAAAUGACCCGGUGGCCAUUUUCACUUUUACCAGCCACGGACUGCAGCUUAAAUUGGAAAACAAAAGAACAACAUGGGAGUUAAAGUGGCAGGCUGAUUGUGUCCUUGUCAUACGCUAUACUCUCAGCUCCAAUCGAUUUUUUAUUACAUCUGCAACAUUCCAAGUCAGGCUGGAGUUGAAGGAUCCAGGCGUUGGACCGCUGAUGCAUUAUUUCUGCCAAUGGAUUGAAUUUAUAGCUAAAAUUGCACUCAGUGUAUCAUCAAUAAACUUACUUGGUGGUCAUAACAAUAAAGAACAAAGUUGUGACUGGCAACAGACUGCUGAAAUAAUGCCAAAAGGCACAGACUGUAGCAGUUACUGUGCAGUCCUAUUGCUAAAUGCCAAAGAACCUGGCUGUUCCCAUUGAAAGAGUGGAGAAGGGAGGUUGGGUCUCUUUGAACCAGUGCCCAUCCUGGAGAAUUAAUUAUAAUGUUUCACUAGAAUGAGUGGCUCUGUGCUGGGACUCUUGCCUCUGAAUAAGAUGGUUAUGGGUUCAACUGCAGCUCCAGAAAGCUGCCAUACAAUACUAAGUGGAUGCUGUGUUGUCAGAGGUGCUAUCUUGAAGAUGAGACAUCAACCUGAAGUACCCACUCCCACUCAGAUACGCAUGAAAGAUCUUACAGUAUGAUUCUGUCGCAAAGCAGCAGAGUUCUCCCUUAUAUAACUAAUAUUUUAUCGUUUGGUUGGGAAGAUGUUGGAUCUGAUUGCUAAGGAUGUGGUUUUGAGGUACUUGGAGGUACAUGAUAAAUAGGCCAUAGUCAGCAUGGUUUCCUCAAGGGAAAAUCUUGCCUGACAUAUCUUUUAAGAAAUAACAAGCAGGAUAGACAAAGGAGAAUCAGUUGAUGUCACGUACUUGGAAUUUCAGAAGGCCUUUGACAGAGUGUCACAAAUGAGGUUGCUUAGCUAGUUAAGAGCCCAUGGUUUAUUGUGAAAGAAACUAGUAUAGGUGGAAGAUUGGCUGACUGGCAGGAGGCAAAGAGUAGAAAUAAAGGGAGCCUUUUCUGGUUUGCUGCUGGUGACUAGUGGUGUUCUGCAGGGGACUGUGUUGGGACAAAUUUUUUAUGAUAAGUGUCAAUGAUUUGGAUGAUGGAAUUGAUGGCUUUGUUGCAAAGUUUGCAGACAAUACAAUGAUAGAUGGAAGGGCAGGUAGUUUUGAGGGAGGAGAGAGACUACAGGAGGAGAAUAGGCAAAGAAGUGGCAGAUGGAAUACAGUGUGGGGAAGUGUAUGGUCAUGCAUUUCAGUAGAAGAAAUGAAAGGGAUGACUAUUUUCUAAAUGAGAGAAAAUACAAACAUUUGAGGUGCAAAGUGACCUGGGAUUUCCUAAAAGUUAAUUUGCAGGCUGAGUCUGUGGUGAGGAAGGAAUAUCCGAAUUUAGCAUUUGUUUCAAGGGGACUAGAAUAUAAAAGCAAGGAUGUAAUGUUGAGGCUUUAUAAAGGACCGGUGAGGCCUCACACGGAGUGUUUUGAGCAGAUUUGACACAUUCAUAUUAGAAAGGAUGUGCUGAAACUGGAGAGGGUACAAAGGAGGUUCACAAAAAUUAUUCCGGGAUUGAACGGCUUGUCAUAUGAAAAGCAUUUGAUAGCUCUGAGUCUGGAAUUUAGAAGGAUGAGGGGUGAUCUCAUUGAAACCUAUCAAAUGGUGAGUGUCCUUGAUAGAGUGGAUGUGGAGAGAAUGUUUCCUAUGGUGGGAAACGCUGUGACUAGAAGGCCCAGACUCAGAAUAGAAGGGCAUCCUUUCAGAACGGAGAUGAGGAGGAAUUUCUUUAGCCAGAGAGUGGUGAAUCUGUGGAAUUCAUUGUACAGGCAACUGUGGAGGCCAAGUCUUUAUGUAUAUUUAAGGCGGAGGUUGAUAGAUUCUUGAUUGGUCAGGACAUGAAGGGAUACGGGGAGAAGGCAGGAGAUUGGGGCUGAGAGGGAAAAUGGAUUACAUAGAAACAUAGAUAACCUAUAGCACAAUACAGGCUCUUCAGCCCACAGUGCUGUGCCGGACAUGUACUUAGUUUAGAAAUUACCUAGUGUUACCCAUCGACCUCUAUUUUUCUAAGCUCCUUGUAUCUAUCCAAAAGUCACCUAAAAGACCCUAUCGUAUCCGCCUCCAGCACCGGUGGAUUUGCAGGUCGAGACUGUGUAGGAGGCAAUCCAUGAUGAAACGGCAAAGCAGACUGAAUGGGCCAAAUGGCCAAAUUCUGCUCCUAAAUCUUAAGGUUUCAUGGUCUUGAUGUCAACAUCUCAGAGAAUAUCACAGAUACAGACGGUGUAGCCGUGGAUACAGAGGGUGUGGCCACAGAUAUAGAUGCUGUGGCCACAGAUACAGACGGUGUAGCCACGGAUACAGAUGGUGUAGCCACGGAUACAGAGGGUGUGGCCACAGAUACAGACUGUGUGGCCACAGAUACAGAGGGUGUAGCCACGGAUACAGAUGGUGUAGCCACGGAUACAGAGGGUGU